AAAAACAUGUCUUUUUGGUUAUUUAAUAUAAAGUCUGACCUGCCCACUGAAUUUAAUUUUUGAAGGGCCGCAGUAUUUUGACUGUGCAAAGGUAGCAUAAUCAUUAGUCUUUUAAUUGAAGGCUGGUAUGAAUGGUUGGAUGAGGUACAAGCUGUGUCAUAAAAAUUAAUAAUUGAAUUUAACUUUUUAGUCAAAAGGCUAAAAUUUAAUUAAAAGACGAGAAGACCCUAUAGAGCUUUAUAUAAUGAUUAUUUAAUUUAUUAAGAUUUAUUAAAUUUAAUUAUUUUAUUAUAUUUUGUUGGGGUGACAAUAAAAUUUAUAAAACUUUUAUUAUUAUUUUACAUUUAUUUAUGAUUCUAUGAUCCAGUUUUAUUGAUUAUAAAUUUAAGUUACCUUAGGGAUAACAGCGUAAUUUUUUUUGAGAGUUCAUAUCGACAAAAAAGAUUGCGACCUCGAUGUUGGAUUAAGAGUAAUUUUGGGUGUAGAAGUUCAAAGUUUAAGUCUGUUCGACUUUUAAAUUCUUACAUGAUCUGAGUUCAAAACCGGGAGA
rnacentral:rRNA from 1 species